rnacentral:rRNA from 1 species
AAGGCAUCUUAUUUGAAGCCCUUUUUCGGAAGGUAUGCUUAAAGAGGGGCUUGCGUCACAUUAGGUAGUGGCAGGGUAAAGGCCUACCAAGACUAUGAUGUGUAGCUGGACUGAGAGGUUGAACAGCCACAUUGGGACUGAGACACGGCCCAAACUCCUACGGGAGGCAGCAGUAGGGAAUUUUCGGCAAUGGAGGAAACUCUGACCGAGCAACGCCGCGUGAACGAUGAAGUAUUUCGGUAUGUAAAGUUCUUUUAUUGAAGAAGAAAAAAUAGUGGAAAAACUAUCUUGACGAUAUUCAAUGAAUAAGCCCCGGCAAACUAUGUGCCAGCAGCCGCGGUAAUACAUAGGGGGCGAGCGUUAUCCGGAAUUAUUGGGCGUAAAGGGUGCGUAGGCGGUUUAAUAAGUCUAUAGUUUAAUUUCAGUGCUUAACACUGUCCUGCUAUAGAAACUAUUAGACUAGAGUGAGAUAGAGGCAAGUGGAAUUCCAUGUGUAGCGGUAAAAUGCGUAAAUAUAUGGAGGAACACCAGAGGCGUAGGCGGCUUGCUGGGUCUUUACUGACGCUGAGGCACGAAAGCGUGGGGAGCAAACAGGAUUAGAUACCCUGGUAGUCCACGCCGUAAACGAUGAGUACUAAGUGUCGGGAUUACUCGGUACUGAAGUUAACACAUUAAGUACUCCGCCUGAGUAGUACGUACGCAAGUAUGAAACUUAAAGGAAUUGACGGGACUCCGCACAAGCGGUGGAUCAUGUUGUUUAAUUCGAAGAUACACGAAAAACCUUACCAGGUCUUGACAUACUCUGCAAAGCUAUAGCAAUAUAGUGGAGGUUAUCAGAGAUACAGGUGGUGCAUGGUUGUCGUCAGCUCGUGUCGUGAGAUGUUAGGUUAAGUCCUAAAACGAGCGCAACCCUUGUCAUUAGUUGCCAGCAUGUCAUGAUGGGCACUUUAAUGAGACUGCCAAUGAAAAAUUGGAGGAAGGUGAGGAUCACGUCAAAUCAUCAUGCCCCUUAUGAUCUGGGCUACAAACGUGAUACAAUGGCUGUUACAAAGAGUAGCUGAAACGCAAGUUUAUAGCCAAUCUCAUAAAAGCAGUCUCAGUUCGGAUUGAAGUCUGCAACUCGACUUCAUGAAGUUGGAAUCGCUAGUAAUCGCGAAUCAGCAUUUCGCCGGGAAAUUUAGUUG